GACGAACGCUGGCGGCGUGCUUAACACAUGCAAGUCGAGCGGAGUCAGUAAGAGGAAAUUUUCGGAUGGAAUCUUAUUGAUUUAGCGGCGGACGGGUGAGUAACGCGUGAGCGACCAACCUUGCACAGGGGGAUAACGGACCGAAAGGUUCACUAAUACCGCAUGAGACCACGGUGUUGCAUGACACAGGGGUCAAAGGAGCAAUCCGGUGCAAGACGGGCUCGCGUCCGAUUAGGUAGUUGGAGGGGUAACGGCCCACCAAGCCUAUGAUCGGUAGCCGACCUGAGAGGGUGAUCGGCCACAUUGGAACUGAGAUACGGUCCAAACUCCUACGGGAGGCAGCAGUGGGGAAUAUUGGGCAAUGGGGGAAACCCUGACCCAGCAACGCCGCGUGAAGGAAGAAGGUUUUCGGAUUGUAAACUUCUGUCCUUGGUGAAGAGAAGAAGACGGUAGCCAAGGAGGAAGCCCCGGCUAACUACGUG
rnacentral:rRNA from 1 species